AUUGAACGCUGGCGGCAGGCCUAACACAUGCAAGUCGAGCGGGGUUUUCGGACCUAGCGGCGGACGGGUGAGUAAUGCGUAGGAAGCUGCCCGAUAGAGGGGGAUACCAGUUGGAAACGACUGUUAAUACCGCAUAAUGUCUACGGACCAAAGUGUGGGACCUUCGGGCCACAUGCUAUCGGAUGCGCCGACGUGGGAUUAGCUAGUUGGUGAGGUAAUGGCUCACCAAGGCGACGAUCUCUAGCUGGUUUGAGAGGAUGAUCAGCCACACUGGAACUGAGACACGGUCCGGACUCCUACGGGAGGCAGCAGUGGGGAAUAUUGGACAAUGGGCGCAAGCCUGAUCCAGCCAUGCCGCGUGUGUGAAGAAGGCCUUCGGGUUGUAAAGCACUUUCGGCGAGGAGGAAGGGUGGUGUGUUAAUAGCACAUCAUUUUGACGUUACUCGCAGAAGAAGCACCGGCUAACUCUGUGCCAGCCGCCGCCGUAA
rnacentral:rRNA from 1 species